CAAAGAAUAGUCUAAUUUUAGGAUCCUGGCUUUGGGAGCCAGGGGUGGGAGUUAAAAUCUCCCUUCUUUGA
rnacentral:tRNA from 1 species